rnacentral:rRNA from 1 species
AGAACGAACGCUGGCGGCAUGCCUAAUACAUGCAAGUCGAACGAACUCUUCGGAGUUAGUGGCGCACGGGUGCGUAACGCGUGGGAAUCUGCCCCUUGGUUCGGAAUAACAGUUGGAAACGACUGCUAAUACCGGAUGAUGACGAAAGUCCAAAGAUUUAUCGCCAAGGGAUGAGCCCGCGUAGGAUUAGCUAGUUGGUGAGGUAAAGGCUCACCAAGGCAACG